UGUCCCCAUCGUCUAGAGGCCUAGGACACUGCCCUUUCACGGCUGUAACAGGGGUUCGAAUCCCCUUGGGGACGCCAAUCCGAUAAUGAGUGAAAGACAUUAUCACCGGUUC
rnacentral:tRNA from 1 species